rnacentral:rRNA from 1 species
GACGAACGCUGGCGGCGUGCCUGACACAUGCAAGUCGAACGGAGAUUUCAGCAAUGGAAUCUUAGUGGCGAACGGGUGAGUAACGCGUAGACAACCUACCUUCUAGAUGGGGACAACACUGCGAAAGUGGUGCUAAUACCGAAUGUUGUAUUUUGAACGCCUGUUUAAGAUACUAAAGGUGGCCUCUAUUUAUAAGCUACCACUAGAAGAUGGGUCUGCGUCUGAUUAGCUAGUUGGUGAGGUAAUGGCUCACCAAGGCAACGAUCAGUAGCCGGUCUGAGAGGAUGAACGGCCACACUGGGACUGAGACACGGCCCAGACUCCUACGGGAGGCAGCAGUGGGGAAUCUUCCGCAAUGGACGAAAGUCUGACGGAGCAACGCCGCGUGAGUGAAGAAGGUUUUCGGAUCGUAAAACUCUGUUUUCAGGGACGAAUGUGCAAUAUGUAAAUAAUGUAUUGUAAUGACGGUACCUGACAAGAAAGCCACGGCUAACUACGUGCCAGCAGCCGCGGUAACAC